UUGAACGCUGGCGGCAUGCCUUACACAUGCAAGUCGAACGGUAACAGGUCUUCGGAUGCUGACGAGUGGCGAACGGGUGAGUAAUACAUCGGAACGUGCCCGACCGUGGGGGAUAACGCAGCGAAAGCCGUGCUAAUACCGCAUACGAUCUACGGAUGAAAGCGGGGGACUCGCAAGAGCCUCGCGCGGACGGAGCGGCCGAUGGCAGAUUAGGUAGUUGGUGGGAUAAAAGCUUACCAAGCCGACGAUCUGUAGCUGGUCUGAGAGGACGACCAGCCACACUGGGACUGAGACACGGCCCAGACUCCUACGGGAGGCAGCAGUGGGGAAUUUUGGACAAUGGGCGCAAGCCUGGUCCAGCCAUGCCGCGUGCGGGAUGAAGGCCUUCGGGUUGUAAACCGCUUUUGUCAGGGAAGAAACGCUCCGGGCCAAUACCCUGGGGUAAUGACGGUACCUGAAGAAUAAGCACCGGCUAACUACGU
rnacentral:rRNA from 1 species